rnacentral:rRNA from 1 species
AACGUAGGGUGCAAGCGUUAUCCGGAUUCACUGGGUGUAAAGCGCGUGCAGGUGGUUUCGUAAGUUGGACGUGAAAUCUCUCGGCUUAACUGGGAGGGGCCGUUCAAUACUGCGGGACUUGAGGGCAGGAGAGGGAGGUGGAAUUCCCGGUGUAGUGGUGAAAUGCGUAGAUAUCGGGAGGAACACCAGUGGCGAAGGCGGCCUCCUGGCCUGCUCCUGACACUGAGACGCGAAAGCUAGGGGAGCGAAC